rnacentral:rRNA from 1 species
CACUGCCGAGAAAAGCCUCUAGAUAGAAAAUAGGUGCCCGUACCGCAAACCGACACAGGUAGUCAAGAUGAGAAUUCUAAGGUGAGCGAGCGAACUCUCGUUAAGGAACUCGGCAAAAUGACCCCGUAACUUCGGGAGAAGGGGUGCUCUUUAGGGUUAACGCCCAGAAGAGCCGCAGUGAAUAGGCCCAAGCGACUGUUUAUCAAAAACACAGGUCUCUGCUAAACCGUAAGGUGAUGUAUAGGGGCUGACGCCUGCCCGGUGCUGGAAGGUUAAGAGGAGUGGUUAGCUUCUGCGAAGCUACGAAUCGAAGCCCCAGUAAACGGCGGCCGUAACUAUAACGGUCCUAAGGUAGCGAAAUUCCUUGUCGGGUAAGUUCCGACCCGCACGAAAGGCGUAACGAUUUGGGCACUGUCUCAACGAGAGACUCGGUGAAAUCAUAGUACCUGUGAAGAUGCAGGUUACCCGCGACAGGACGGAAAGACCCCGUGGAGCUUUACUGUAGCCUGAUAUUGAAAUUCGGCACAGCUUGUACAGGAUAGGUAGGAGCCUUUGAAACGUGAGCGCUAGCUUACGUGGAGGCGCUGGU